AACAUCGAUGUUUAUUUUGGACAAUCGAUGUUUCUAAGGCCAUCACUGUUCCAAGAAUAAGGAAGCGGAAAACACGUUAAAGUGAAUGAUAUUGGUGGUGUAGGCGCGACGCUGCAAAAGUUUUUAACGAUGGAUAAAUUCUUAAACCGUACAACGAAGGAAACGUCUCCGAAAAGGAAGCGAGAAACAUCUUGUGUGUGGCAAGCGGAGGACAAAACAAAGGUCACCUGUGUUCACUGUGGAAAAAUGUUAAAAACGGGGCGAAAUACAACUAACCUAAUCGACCACCUUUAACAGAUUCAUCCAAACUAUAAUACUUAUGAGAUAGAUAAUCAGUCACCGAGGUUAGAUAGUUUUAUGCAACGGAAUAUAGAGCAUCCGUUAGAGUCAAAACAAAAAAAAACAUUGGACAUGUAUGUAAUGCGACUGAUAGCACGGGACGUUCAACCGUUUAGCAUGGUUGAAGAAGAUGGAUUCCGUGACUUGAUGCACCACAUGGACCCGAAAUAUAGAAUGCCGAGCAGACCGUAUUUCAGAGACAUAAUGCUACCUAAGCUAUACAAAGAUUUAAGAAAUAAUCUUGAAUGUGAGCUCGAUGGGGUCCUAUGUAGCAAUUACCACGGAUGGAUGGACUUCCCGUGCCAAUGAAGCCUAUAUCACAGUAACAUGCCAUUUUGUGAAUGAAAAGUUUGAGUUUGUUUCAGCUGCCUUGCCGACGGCGCGUCUUGCAACGCCCACUAAUCACUCAGCUGUGAAUAUUGCUGAUACUCUUCGACAGGUCUUGAAUGAGUGGGGUCUUUUCUUCAUAAAGUUGUAACUAUAGUUACAGAUAACGACAGUACAAUGAAGGCGUGCGAACAUCUGGAAAUUAAACAUUUUCUGUGUUUCGCACACACAAUUUGCUUGAGCAAGAAAUUUUGAAAAUAGACAUAAUUCAACCCGUAUUAAGGAAGUGCAAGACUGUCAUAGCAUUCGUUAAGCGAAGCUCGACUACAAUGGCUAAGUUUAAGGACGCUCAAAAGGUUACCGAACCCCUCGGACUGAUACAGGAGGUACCAACAAGAUGGAACAGUGCCUUUCAAAUGAUUGAUAGAAUUUUAAAUAUCAAUGAGGCACAUUGAGUGGACGCUUCAAAGAUCGGUUUGGGCACUACGAAACACGUACCGUAGCAAGAAUUGCCACAAUGGUAGACACAAGAUUAAAAAACAAGGAUUCCAGAAAACAAGUAAUGCUGAACAAGCAUGUCACGCAUUGGAAGACGAACUUAGAAAUGCUUUGAGCAAAUUGUCACGUGAAAAAUCCACAGCAGAUUCGUUGACGCCUACACCACCCAAUCAACCUGCUCCUUCGAGCUAUUUUACAAUGCUUCAAUUAAAGUUGAAGGCGCAAAUAAGUACAACUCGUGCGGACGCAAUCAUAUUGCUUAGAUAGCAUGUAUAAUGCGAAAAUGAGCCCGAAACAAGCGAUCCCUUAAAUCUUUGGAAGUAGGGGUUGGAAGCUAGGAGGUGGAGAAACAUCGAUGACAUCGGUGUUUUUGAAACAUCGCUAAUAUCGAUGUUUGGUAGGCAACCAUCGAUGUUUUUCCAUCUCUGAGCGCAUUUAAAAGGAACGAUGUGUAAAUUUGUUAGUCGUUGGUGCUGUUGGGUGAUAUAGUGGAGGACAUGGACAGAUAUCUGAAAAGAGUAAAAACUUCUGAUGAGAAUGUGGGGAUAGGGACCCAAAGAGAAACAAACGGGAUGUGUCGGUUGCUUAGGAUUACUUUAGAAAAACUGAGCAAAAAACACAUGGCAUUUUCAACUACUGCGGUAAAGCUAUAAAAACAGCCGGAAACACGACAAACCUUUUAGAUCAUCUAAAACAUGUUUAUCCUGAUCGCCCUAAAGUCAGAAAACCGCAUAAUAAAAUACAAUGGACAAUUAUGUCGGAAAGUCUUUAUCGUUUUAUAGCAAUGAUUCCACUCGAAAACGUCGUUUGGAUAGUGUAAUGAUGAUCAUGAUAGCUGUCGAUGUCCAACCCUUUAGUUGUGUUGAAAAUUUCCAUUUCCUUCGUCAGAUUUAUGAUUUAAUUUAUGAAUGAAAAUGUGAACAUUAUGGAAUAAUGUUCUUCUUUUUAUUUGUAAGCGACUUAUAAUGAAAUAAUAUUAAUUGUUUUAAUUUUCAAUAUUUAUAAGACAGUCAUUAUGGAAUAAUAGCCCUUUUUAUACACUUUGA